ensembl:lncRNA
UGAGAAUCAAACUGUUUCAGAAUGUUUCCUUCUAAUGGAACUCGACCUUAAAAAGGACAAUAGCACCUCAGCCAGCAGGAGGUGUUUGAUCUUCACCAUAUGGCUCUUUGGAUUGCAGGUCUGCUACCCAUUCACCAACCUCCUGCCGACAGCACAGGGGUAAACCGUCUCUCUGCUGUGAGCGUCUACUGCUGACCACCGAGACGGAGACAGUACUACAGAGGGGUGAGAUGCCAGCGGGAGUUGUUGCAUUCACCAGCAAAUCUUUGACCCGCCGAUUCCGCAACAGGGGAGGCCAAUUUCAUGCAGCAGUCGGCUUCUAUUACGAAAAACCUGAAGCAUCAGUUCCAACAGGCACAAAGGAAGAAGUGCGCCUUCGGGGCCCGUCCGCCUGAACGGGUUCUUUUCAAGACAAAACAGGAUCUUUUCCUAAACGCUAAACAGUUUUUCUGCCGAAAAAAAAGCCCCCCGAAGGCAAACUCCUCCCUCGCGCUUCCAACAACAGGACGAGACGCCUGCUGGCGGCAUCGAAGCGACGAGGAGAAGCCGGUGCGAUCAGUGGAAAUCUCACCGGAGCCCACUUGGUUCCUGCAGCACAAAAACAGACACGACUCGUUGCAUAGUUACAUUUAUCUCCAUCAGAGGUCAGUGAACUCGUCAAUGCAAAGGUUGGACACGGCUUAGCAGAACUGUACAGUAAACGUGGCAACGUCCUUAAAGGAGGAACAUGAGACAUCGUCCACACCGGAGCAUUUUUUACCUCGUGUCGAAGGUCAGACGCGAUCUACACUGACAGCAAUGUCAGUCUAAAUCUAAGCUGCUCAUUUCCCAUCACCAAAGGUCAAGCAAUCAUACGACCAUUCAGCGUGUUCAUGGGGGAGCUGGAAGGUUUCUCAGAGCGCUCGCCACCAACACGCCACCAACCUUCUGCGGGUUCAGCGUCGUAAACAUCUGACCCGCACGGCUCUAUUUGGAUUCGUGACUUUCUCUCCA